CCUACGGGUGGCAGCAGUGGGGAAUAUUGGGCAAUGGGCGCAAGCCUGACCCAGCAACGCCGCGUGAAGGAAGAAGGCUUUCGGGUUGUAAACUUCUUUUCUCAGGGACGAAGCAAGUGACGGUACCUGAGGACUAAGCCACGGCUAACUACGUGCCAGCAGCCGCGGGAAUACGUAGGUGGCAAGCUUUAUCCGGAUUUAACGGGUGUAAAGGGCGUGUAGGCGGGACUGCAAGUCAGAUGUGAAAACCACGGGCUAAACCUGUGGCCUGCAUUUGAAACUGUAGUUCUUGAGUACUGGGGAGGCAGACGGAAUUCCUAGUGUAGCGGUGAAAUGCGUAGAUAUUAGGAGGAACACCAGUGGCGAAGGCGGUCUGCUGGACAGCAACUGACGCUGAGGCGCGAAAGCGUGGGGAGCAAACAGGAUUAGAUACCCUAGUAGUC
rnacentral:rRNA from 1 species